CCUACGUGCGGCAGCAGUGGGGAAUAUUGCACAAUGGGGGAAACCCUGAUGCAGCGACGCCGCGUGAGUGAAGAAGUAUUUCGGUACGUAAAGCUCUAUCAGCAGGGAAGAAAAUGACGGUACCUGACUAAGAAGCCCCGGCUAACUACGUGCCAGCAGCCGCGGUAAUACGGAGGAUGCGAGCGUUAUCCGGAUUUAUUGGGUUUAAAGGGUGCGUAGGCGGAAGGUUAAGUCAGCGGUAAAAUGUCGGUGCUAAACACCGGCCUGCCGUUGAAACUGGUCUUCUUGAGUGAGCGAGAAGUAAGCGGAAUGCGUGGUGUAGCGGUGAAAUGCAUAGAUAUCACGCAGAACUCCGAUUGCGAAGGCAGCUUACCGGCGCUCAACUGACGCUGAGGCACGAAAGCGUGGGGAUCGAACAGGAUUAGAUACCCUUGUAGUC
rnacentral:rRNA from 1 species